ACUUGGUAGUGUAAGAGUCACCCAGAUGGUACUGGUUUUGCAAGCAUAAAGGGGUCAUGGAAAGCAGCAAUGGCUUGGCACUGUGAGAAGCCAGGAGAGGCAUUGGUGAAGCUGCAGCCCGACAGCAGUUGAAGACUCAGUGUUGAAGUGGUCAUACAGAGAAGUUGAGGCUUGGCACCAUGAAGAAAGCCUAGGAGAAGCUAUUGGGGAAAGUGUAGCCCAGGUGUAGCAGAAGACCCCAGCAUUAUGGAGAUCCCAGCACCAUGGGAUGACUACCCAGAACAGCAGCAGCCGUGGAGUGGAACCUGCUUUGAGCUUAAAAGACAAGCUGUGCAUUCUACAGAGGGUGGAGCCAGAGAACUGACCCAGGCCCUAUGGAGCAGCCCGGAAGAUCUUGAGUGAAUCUCAGAUAAUCAGACAUCAAGAUAUUUUCACUUUUGGAGUUUGGUUUUUCUUUGUUCAGAUUGUGACUGUGUCCUGGUUCUUCACUUUUGAAGUGAGAAGAAAUAUUCCCAAAAUGUGAACAGAAGGAGAAAUCUGCAAUGGUGACGACCAGAAGACUAGCAUACCUAUGCACAUACAAGCACAUUUUUAAUGAACUUGUGUUCAAUCAAAUGUUCCAGAAUUACAAGAACCGUUCAGGCUUUGGGAAGCAAGUAUCUCUACCAUACUAAGGAUGAAGUCACAGGUCAGGAAGAUGAUGGUGAAAGAUGAGAAGAAAUGAGAAACGAUGGAGUCUCUAAGACAGAGGCAGUCAAGUCCUGUGUCCACACAGCUUGUGUAUCCCAGCAGACUUGGAUGUAACUGCUGCUCUCACACAGGCAUCUCUUGCUUCUUAACCUGCAGACUUCCCUUUCUUAUUAUCUCUGAUGUCCAACUAUUCCAGCUCUGCACCUUCCAACUGCUGCUCUUGAUUUUCAGAAGUGACCUUUGUUUCUCUGUAAGGCUAAGUGAACUGGUUUGUUUACGUCAACCCACUCAUUGGAUUUUAGCACAAUGGUUACAGGUUUGGGUACAGAGAUUCUGAUCAUCAAGCCAAUCAUCUUUUUCCUGCCAACUUCUGAGAAGAGGAUAUUCAGCAUUUUUUUCAACUCCUUCCUUUCCACUUCACUUUUGUAUUGUUGUUACAAAACUCAUCCCAGGGGGGAAAGGCCAGGAAUGUGCUGCACUGUAACUGUGAUUAUGCUGGAUCUAAGAAGGGAGCCCCUUUGCACCCUGAAAAAAGAAAAAGUCCUUGUCUAUGUCUAGUGACCUUGUCAGUUUCUUCUCUCCUGCUCAUUUCCAAACAUUGCCAACAUUUCAUGUUUUAGUAUUUUUUUCCCCUGA